UGGGGAAUAUUGGGCAAUGGGGGAAACCCCGACCCAGCAACGCCGCGUGAAUGAUGAAGGUCUUCGGAUUGUAAAGUUCUGUCGCGAGGGACGAAUAAAUGACGGUACCUCGUGAGGAAGCCACGGCUAACUACGUGCCAGCAGCCGCGGUGAUACGUAGGUGGCAAGCGUUGUCCGGAUUUACUGGGUGUAAAGGGCGUGUAGGCGGGACUGUAGGUCAGAUGUGAAAUCUUAGGGCUCAACCCUAAGCCUGCAUUUGAAACCGCAGUUCUUGAGUACCGGAGAGGAAAGUGGAAUUCCUAGUGUAGCGGUGGAAUGCGUAGAUAUUAGGAGGAACACCCGUGGCGAAGGCGGCUUUCUGGACGGUAACUGACGCUGAGGCGCGAAAGCGUGGGGAGCAAACA
rnacentral:rRNA from 1 species